CCUACGGGUGGCAGCAGUGAGGAAUAUUGGUCAAUGGCCGAGAGCCUGAACCAGCCAAGUCGCGUGAGGGAAGACUGUCCUAUGGAUUGUAAACCUCUUUUGUCAGGGAGCAAAGUCACCCACGUGUGGGUGUUGGAGAGUACCUGAAGAAAAAGCAUCGGCUAACUCCGUGCCAGCAGCCGCGGUAAUACGGAGGAUGCGAGCGUUAUCCGGAUUUAUUGGGUUUAAAGGGUGAGUAGGCGGGUGAUAAAGUCAGCGGUAAAAUCGAGGCGCUCAACUCCGUCGAGCCGUUGAAACUGAUGAUCUUGAGUGGGCGAGAAGUAUGCGGAAUGCGUGGUGUAGCGGUGAAAUGCAUAGAUAUCACGCAGAACUCCGAUUGCGAAGGCAGCAUACCGGCGCACAACUGACGCUGAGGCACGAAAGCGUGGGUAUCGAACAGGAUUAGAUACCCGAGUAGUC
rnacentral:rRNA from 1 species